AGACUGUCAAUAAAUAGUGGGAGGAGGGGUGGCCUUGGGAGUCCUCCCGGCUCCGGCGCAAGUAUACGUUGCGAUGCAUUCCGUCCAGCCUGGUGUGGCUCUGGUUGAGGAAUGGCUCUCUCUGCUUGUUGGAACAGGAAGGGAGCAAGCAAGAAAUAUAUCAGCCAAUGAACUGGUUGAUAAAUAGAUUGGACCAAUAUUGGAAAAGAGCACAAGAUUUGAGGAUUAGAGAAUGCUUCUAGACCAGAAGCACCAUCUUUAGACUACGCAUCGAGCGGCUGUUGUUCGAUGUGGGAACUAAAAUUCACUGUUUUGACCCGAUCGGACGAUCAACCAAGGUUUGCCCCCUGGAGUGACAGUCCAAAAUUUACCCUGAACUGAUUAGGGCACUUGCUAAGCAAGUAGUCCAAGACUAGCACCAGCUGAAGAUGAACAAGAAAUUGCAGCAGCUGAAGGCACCAACAAACCUUGAGGUGUCAAAACUUAGUGUGGAAGGCCGUGGGAUGGUCAGGAGUAAUGCAUUGGUGUGGACUUGGGAUUGCGGCGGUUGUACCUGCAGAUGUGGCGGAAGGCAAAGCUGAAAUUAUACUGAAGCUUUCCAUCUUUGCCAAGUUUUUUAACCUCUAUUUCUAUUCACAGAGAGGCUUUUAUCAUUUUGUUGCACAGUGCAAGCUUUCCUUUGAUACUUACCAAUUAUUCAAGCAACCUUUAUUAUUUUCUAUAUUCACAGUACCUGCAUAUGUGAGGGUUCUGCCACUGCAGAACAAUGGGGGCCUCUACCUAUGGACCGCGAUAAUGGCAAGUGACUACAAUAGUUCAUCCUUUUAGUGGAGAUUUGAUGAAUAGUCUGUUUCGGGAAUGUGCAGUUGGAGAAUUUGUUCAGAUUGGGUUUGGGUGUCCAGGAGAUUCACCGACAGUAGCACCAGCCAUCAUUGGUUUUUAUGGACUCCAUGGCUGUUCUAGGAAAGGAGCGAAAGGGUGAUUUUUUGGAGGGUCUGAUCAUUGUUGUUCUGCUUGAUUAGCACAACAAUAGGGUUGCUCCCUCCUGCAAAGCCAUAUAAUAAAAGGUGAAGAGCGGUGGUAGGGAACCACGCCUACGAGCGUGCUCAUGGUGGUACCCAGAUCCCAACAAUGCAUGGUUACGGAUGUCCUCGGCCAGGAAACUCUUUCUUGUCUCUUCGAUUUUCAGUGACAUCGCUUUGGUUUAUGCUUGAU